AUUGAACGCUGGCGGCAGGCCUAACACAUGCAAGUCGAGCGAGCGGCGGACGGGUGAGUAAUGUCUGGGGAACUGCCCGAUGGAGGGGGAUAACUACUGGAAACGGUGGCUAAUACCGCAUACUAUCGGAUGAACCCAGAUGGGAUUAGCUAGUAGGUGGGGUAAAGGCUCACCUAGGCGACGAUCCCUAGCUGGUCUGAGAGGAUGAUCGGCCAUACUGGGAACUAGACACGGCCCAGACUCCGACGGGAGGCAGCAGUGGGGAAUAUGGCACAAUGGGCGCAAGCCUGAUGCAGACAUGCCGCGUGUAUGAAGAAGGCCUUAGGGUUGUAAAGUACGUUCAGCGGGGAGGCGUUACCCGCAGAAGAAGCACCGGCUAACUCCGUGCCAUCAGCCGCGGUAAUUC
rnacentral:rRNA from 1 species